rnacentral:antisense_RNA from 1 species
GACCAGGACGCUGUGCCCCCGCUGGGCGAG